UGCCCCUGAAAAGUGCCUCCCAAAAUGUCUCAGGUCAGAGCUGCAACCUGCGCAACAACGGCUAAGAUGAGGAAAACCAAGACACAGAAAGAAAACCAUUUUGCAUAACUGACGAACCUGGAUGAGUUCAUCACCAAACUCCAAGAACCCUCCGCUAGGUCUCUGCCUAGUGUCCAUGAACCAGCAGCACCCUCAUUACCUGGGAGCUGAACAGAAAUGCAGAAUCCUGCACCCACCCCAGACCUACUCAAUCACACUCCGUUUCAACAAGAUCUCCAGGUCAUACGUACGUACAGUACAGUUUGGGAAGCAUUGCUCUAGGACAGAAAGAGUUUCUCAAAAUUAUUAGAUGAAUGAUCUUAUUAGACCCAUGCUCUAAAUAAAUGUAAAGAUAAUUUUUGACAAUGUCU
rnacentral:lncRNA from 10 species